rnacentral:rRNA from 1 species
GUGGGGUAACGGCCUACCAAGGCGACGACGGGUAGCCGGCCUGAGAGGGCGACCGGCCACACUGGGACUGAGACACGGCCCAGACUCCUACGGGAGGCAGCAGUGGGGAAUCUUGCGCAAUGGGCGAAAGCCUGACGCAGCAACGCCGCGUGCGGGAUGAAGGCCCUCGGGUUGUAAACCGCUUUCAGCAGGAACGAAAAUGACGGUACCUGCAGAAGAAGGUCCGGCCAACUACGUGCCAGCAGCCGCGGUAACACGUAGGGACCAAGCGUUGUCCGGAUUUAUUGGGCGUAAAGCGCUCGUAGGCGGUUCGGUAAGUCGGGUGUGAAACCCCUGGGCUCAACCCGGGGACGCCACCCGAUACUGCUGUGACUCGAGUUCGGUAGGGGAGCGGGGAAUUCCUGGUGUAGCGGUGAAAUACGCAGAUAUCAGGAGGAACACCGAUGGCGAAGGCAGGUCUCUGGGCCACUACUGACGCUGAGAAGCGAAAGCAUGGGGAGCGAACAGGAUUAGAUACCCUGGUAGUCCAUGCCGUAAACGGUGGGAACUAGGUGUGGGCCUCAUUCCACGAGGUCCGUGCCGCAGCUAACGCAUUAAGUU